UGGGGAAUCUUGCGCAAUGCGCGAAAGCGUGACGCAGCAACGCCGCGUGAGGGAAGAAGGCCUUCGGGUUGUAAACCUCUUUCAGGAGGGACGAAGGUUCAGGCGCGAAUAGCGUCCUGGACUGACGGUACCUCCAGAAGAAGCCCCGGCUAACUACGUGCCAGCAGCCGCGGUAAUACGUAGGGGGCUAGCGUUGUCCGGAAUCAUUGGGCGUAAAGCGCGCGUAGGCGGCCCGGUAAGUCCGCUGUAAAAGUCAAAGGCUCAACCUUUGAAGGUCAGUGGAUACUGCCGGGCUAGAGUCCGGAAGAGGCGAGUGGAACUCCUGGUGUAGCGGUGGAAUGCGCAGAUAUCAGGAAGAACACCAACGGCGAAGGCAGCUCGCUGGGACGGUACUGACGCUGAGGCGCGAAAGCGUGGAGAGCGAACAGGAUUAGAUACCCUGGUAGUCCACGCCGUAAACGAUGGGCACUAGGUGUGGGAGGUGUCGACUCCUCCCGUGCCGGCGCUAACGCAUUAAGUGCCCCGCCUGGGGAGUACGGCCGCAAGGCUAA
rnacentral:rRNA from 1 species